rnacentral:rRNA from 1 species
UACGAAGGGGGCUAGCGUUGCUCGGAAUCACUGGGCGUAAAGGGUGCGUAGGCGGUGGGGUAAGUUUGAGGUGAAAGCUCCGGGCUCAACCCGGAAACUGCCUUGAAAACUAUCCGGCUAGAGGGUUGGAGGGGAGACUGGAAUUCUCGGUGUAGCAGUGAAAUGCGUAGAUCUCGAGAGGAACACCAGUGGCGAAGGCGGGUCUCUGGACAACACCUGACGCUGAGGCACGAAAGCCAGGGGAGCAAACGGG